AGAAAGAAGAGGAAUUUCAGAACCUCUGCUAAGGAAAUCUAACGAUUACCCAAUAUGCAGCCCGAUUUGUCCAAUUAUUUAGGUUUUUUCCUAUAAUGGUCACUCUGAAAGUCAUAAAGUUAGAAAGUUUCUUAAAGGACUUUGUGUCGAUAUUUAUGAUCAGGUUACGAUGUUGAGACCUAGCUCGUAUGCCAAGGUGCUAGAACAU
rnacentral:lncRNA from 1 species